rnacentral:rRNA from 1 species
GAACGGUAACAUUUCUAGCUUGCUAGAAGAUGACGAGUGGCGGGCGGGUGAGUAAUGCUUGGGAACUUGCCUUUGCGAGGGGGAUAACAGUUGGAAACGACUGCUAAUACCGCAUAAUGUCUUCGGACCAAACGGGGCUUCGGCUCCGGCGCAAAGAGAGGCCCAAGUGAGAUUAGCUAGUUGGUAAGGUAACGGCUUACCAAGGCGACGAUCUCUAGCUGUUCUGAGAGGAAGAUCAGCCACACUGGGACUGAGACACGGCCCAGACUCCUACGGGAGGCAGCAGUGGGGAAUAUUGCACAAUGGGGGAAACCCUGAUGCAGCCAUGCCGCGUGUGUGAAGAAGGCCUUCGGGUUGUAAAGCACUUUCAGUUGUGAGGAAAAGUUAGUAGUUAAUACCUGCUAGCCGUGACGUUAACAACAGAAGAAGCACCGGCUAACUCCGUGCCAGCAGCCGCGGUAAUACGGAGGGUGCGAGCGUUAAUCGGAAUUACUGGGCGUAAAGCGCACGCAGGCGGUUUGUUAAGCUAGAUGUGAAAGCCCCGGGCUCAACCUGGGAUGGUCAUUUAGAACUGGCAGACUAGAGUCUUGGAGAGGGGAGUGGAAUUCCAGGUGUAGCGGUGAAAUGCGUAGAUAUCUGGAAGAACAUCAGUGGCGAAGGCGACUCCCUGGCCAAAGACUGACGCUCAUGUGCGAAAGUGUGGGUAGCGAACAGGAUUAGAUACCCUGGUAGUCCACACCGUAAACGCUGUCUACUAGCUGUGUGUGUCUUUAAGACGUGCGUAGCGAAGCUAACGCGCUAAGUAGACCGCCUGGGGAGUACGGCCGCAAGGUUAAAACUCAAAUGAAUUGACGGGGGCCCGCACAGCGGUGGAGCAUGUGGAUUUACUUCGAUGCACGCGAGACUUACCUACACUUGACAUGCUGAGAGUUACUAGAGAUAGUUUCGUGCCUUCGGGACUCAGA